AGAGUGAACGCUGGCGGUAGGCCUAACACAUGCAAGUCGAACGGCAGCACAGUGGUAGCAAUACCAUGGGUGGCGAGUGGCGGACGGGUGAGGAAUACAUCGGAGUCUACCUUUUCGUGGGGGAUAACGUAGGGAAACUUACGCUAAUACCGCAUACGCCCCUCGGGGGAAAGCCGGGGACCAGCAAUGGCCUGGCGCUGAUAGAUGAGCCGAUGUCGGAUUAGCUAGUUGGUGAGGUAAUGGCUCACCAAGGCGACGAUCCGUAGCUGGUCUGAGAGGAUGAUCAGCCACACUGGAACUGAGACACGGUCCAGACCUCCGUACGGGAGCAG
rnacentral:rRNA from 1 species